ACUCCAGUUCACGGGGAACAGCCACGUUGGAAACAGAUGACCACAUCGCCCCGGUAUAAUGGGACCAUGGUGAACACCUGACCCAAGCUGGGACAGUCAGAGUCUCUUCCCUGGAAAUCAGGGCUGGUUUUUCUUGCUGGUUCAUCUGGAUAAAUAGUAAAAUUUGUCCUGUGUAGGCUUGUAAGCCUACGGACCGUAUUCUAUCCUGUGAAAUGGGGAGAAGGAAAAGGAGGUGAAAACAAAGCGAGUGGCUUUGCAGGAAGUAAAAAGGCCUUGCAGAAUCUUCUCACUGCACUUGAGUUCUGAGCUCCAGUGACUUGGUGAAUGCUGAUGUGUUCUUGAAGAGGAGAGGGAAAACGGAAGAGGAGUAGGCUGCUGGAGGUCUUUAAUGCAUCGGUUUCGAUGUUCACUGGGUGGUUAGAACUUAAGAUUUUCCAGCAAUAGUCAGUCACAGUCUAGCUCAUUCUGGACGUGCAGGAGUUACAGAAAAAGAAAAAGAAAUAGUAGUUGUCUUUAAAAAACCCUGCUGGCAUAAUGCUUUUCCUUUUAAAUGUUUUGUUAUGAAUAUAAAGAGAGAGAGAGGGAGAGAGCGAGAGUGAGACAGAGAGAGAGACAGACUAUUAAUUGCCUCUUUACCUCCCACAGUCCUGGCUUGGGUGUAAAACAUUCUUCCUGCAUUAAUUAAGGGUUCUGUCUGCUCACCCUGAAAACUUCUGGUUCAAUUACUUAAAAAAAAAAAAAAAAAGAAAUGGCACUGAAGACGAAAUUUGUUUUCAUUUUGCAGGCAAAAGGAUGAUAUCCUCAGGGCCUCAUAAUCAGUGUCACCUUCUAAAGGUCAGAUGACCUUUAUCUUUAGUGAUCUUACCCAAUAUGGAUUCAACAGCAAUUUAUGGGUAGGCGGAGGUUUAUGCAAAACAUUCCAUAAUUUGCAAAGAUUAAUGAAAGAGCCAAGUGUAAGUACGUUAACUUAACCAGUUGGAAAGCAAGCUUAAGAAAAGGUAGAAACGAGUACAAAACUAACUUUGAGCUUGUUCUAAACUAAACUCGGUAUUCUUCUUUUUUAAGUAGAAAAUUACUUCUAGGGAGCUCAGCGAAUUUGGCCAAUGCUAUCUCAGUUUCAACACUCAUCUGGAAUCUCUAAUAUACUUGUUUGCUAAAGAACAAUUACAACCCUGAUGUUAGAAAUCAAGGAUGAGGUACGACUAUAGAUUUUCCAUACUAUAGUGGGAGAGAAGUUUUAUGCAUCACUGCGUUCAGGAGGAAAGAAAGUCAAACUUGGAAAUAAACCUAAACAGAUCCUCUCUGUGAGCAUAAAGAAGGCAACGGAAAGCAGGUGUUAUCCCGGGAGGGUUGUUCUCGAACUUUUGGGUUUCACUGACUUAUUGAGCGCUGGGGCUUGGGGGACGAGUAACCUCUUAUUUUGCCGGCAUGAAAACCUAUCCUCUACUAAGCACCCUAACGCAUGAAAGAGGGUUUCACACGAGGUAUAGGAAGGACCUUGCGGCAGGGCUGCUGCGCAGGCCACAAAAGCUGGACUACAUUUCCCAGCUGCCUUGCCGGUGAGCGCUGGGCGAGGCGGAAGUGAGCGUCUGCGCUUGCUCUCCCGGUCCGGAAAUCCUCCCCCCACACCUUCCUUUGCACGUGUUCAGCAGAUGCCCAGCCUCCCGCUAAGGUCCCGAAGCUCCAGUCCGGGCUGUUUCGGGGGAGGCAGGAACCUGUGUGCCCGAAUGGCCACUGCCGACCCAGAACAUCUUCACUCUGUUGGACUCCAAGUGAGCCAGCGCGGAGCUGAAACUCAGACUAUAAGGAGGGGGGACACUGGCCGGUGAAGCGGCGUCCCCCUCUCUGGGAGCCUGAUGAGGCUCAUCUGGGAAAGCAGGGGGGAAAAAAACCCUGGAAAGUGGAGCCAGCUACUUCCAGAAUCAGCUGCAUCCUCCAGGUAAGGAACUGGUGCUCAGGUAGCAUCAGUAGCUGUAGCAAAACAGAGCAACCCGCAGAAACACAGACGAUGAAACAAAAACAGCCCAAGAGAGCACCUGUCCCUUAUCCCUCGUCCAGUCUUUCAGUCUCCUUGCCGCACUCCCUCCUGGCAAAACCUCCAGGAAACAGCCAGAAAAAGGAGAAUGUGGUUUGCGGAGUUCCAGCCAUAGCACCCUAUAGCUGAGUAUGGAAAAAGGUGGGUUUUGAGAAGAAAGACAAUAGCUUAAUCGUCAGCACAGUAAGACAUAUACUUUUAUUGUUUUACAUAGCUAAGGUAUUUGGUGGUGGUUACAAUAGCUAAUCAAAACAGAUCCCCAAACGAAAUUUAAGUGGAAGAAAUUUAAUUUCACGAAAACCCAUUCAACUACUACUAUUUUUUUUUUUUUUUUUUUAAAUUUCACUAAGGAUUUAGUGAAAAUCCAGCUCUUGGCAGGUUCAUGGGAGGCGUGUGAGAACCAUUGGUGUAGAUAGGUCCAUCUUUUCUUCUAAGUAUUGGAAUUCUCCAACAUUUGCAGACGCAUGGGUGUGGUUGUGGGAAAGAAAGGGGGAAUUUUGGUUGGGCGCAGGAACAAAAGGUGGCAUGAAAAAUGAAGUGAUGGUUUAGUACCAGUUUCCUUUGGAUUCCUUAGAAUUUAAAUUCCUUGGGUUUAAAUUUCUCUGGUUAGUGGAGUAGGAAUGAAAACGAACUUGUUGGUGUGAGAAUCUGGUGGAGGGACUGUCGUCAAUAGAUGGCAGAACUGUCCAAGAGAAACUUUGGAUCCAAGAAGAGCUGCUUUGGGGUCCAAAGUGUGGAACAGAAAUGGGGCAGAAUUUAUAUCCUGUGCGCUUUUUCAUGGGCUGUAGCAAUGCUCUGACAGCCCAAGAAUUGAGGGUUUUGAGUAUAUCCCAAGAAACCACAUGAGUUGGCCUCUCUGGCAUCAGCUCUGCACCUUCUCCCCUCUCUCACCAUCUCCUGUUUCUGGGACAGGCUGCUCCUACCUCAGGACCUUUGCCCUUGCUGUUCUUUUUCCCAAGGUGAUCUGACCCCAGAUUCUACCAGUCUAUUCCUCACUUCUUUUAGGUCUCUGCUCAAAUGUCAUUUUACUAGCAAAUUCUCUCUAUAACCUGCUCACCCAUACUCAUCUGGUACUCCAGUUACUAUCUGACACAUUUUAUUUUUCUUUGUUUAUGCAUACUAGAAUAAGUUGCUAUGAGAGCAGGGUGGGGUUUUUGUUUGUUUGUUUGUUUUGCUUUGUUUUUGUCUGUUUUGUUCACUUCUAUAUCUCUGGUACCUAGAAAAGUUCCUGGUCUAUAAUAAGUUCUUAAUAAAUAUUAGUUGAAUUACUACUGUUGCUGUUGCUGAAGGCAUCCUUGACAUGGACAUGCUGCUUAUUCCCAUGACCAUUCUUAAAAUAUACUUCCCGUUUUGUUAGUCCUUUGUUUAAAAAUCCUCAGGUGGCUUCUCUGUACUUUCAAAAUAAAUUUCAAUUUCUUUAUGUGGUCAGGAAGGCUUUCUCAACCUAUCCCUGCUAAUAUCUUCAGUCCCAAUUUUGGCCAUUCUAAAUCUUUCUACUCUCCUCUUCGGCCAUAUUGAGGUACUUGUAGUGCCUAGUGAAACCAUGGUCACUCUCAUCCUCUGAGUUUUGCACAUGCAGGGCCACUUCUGCUUUGAAGAUACUUUCCAUCCCUCUCAUCCUUUAGGAUUCAGCUUUUAGACAUCAUUUCUUCUAGAGAGAUUUCCUACCCUCAAGGCUGGGUUAGUCCAACAUUGCAUAGUAUUGAUUUGUAUGAUAGCACCCAUCAUGGUAUUUUUUGUUAGCAUAAUUUAUUACAAUUUAAGAACUAGACUGUCUUAGCUUGGGCUACCAUAACAAAAUAUCAUGAUUGGGUGGCUUAAACCACAGAAAUUUAUUUUGCACAGUUUUGCCGGCUGGAGGCCUGAGAUCAGGAUGCCAAUGUGGUUGAGUUCUGGUGAGAGCUGUCUUUCUGGCUUGCCGUUAGCUGCCUUCUCUGUGCACUUACAUGGCCUUUCCUUGGGGCCUGUGCCUGGAGAGACAGGGAGAGAGAG